rnacentral:lncRNA from 1 species
UUCACAUUCUUCCCCUGGCCUGUUAGCCCAGGGUCUGCCCCACCCACUAGAGCACCAAUUUAAUCCAGAUCAGCUAGGGCAGGCAGCCUGUCCUAGGAUCUGGUCCCACCCAACAGCAAGCCUUUGGGCAACUUUUCAGCCUACAUAGACUGGGUGCCUGGAUCCUCUGCAGACAGGUCCUCCACCCCUCCAGGGAAAGCUGUGCACCCUAUGAUUGCUCCUGGCUGGCCAUGAAGCACCACAGCUUGUGAAGAUAGCCUUUUUUCUCUCAAGAAAGGAAUCUCUGCCUCUUCCACCUCAGCCAGGACCACCCCUCAUUGCAGGGGCUCCCCGUAUCCAGCUUUCAGCUCUCUAUCAGGGGCAACCAUUCCCAGAGCAGUUGCAAACUGGUUGCGUCCAUGGGAGGAGGAGAGCCCUCAGAGGGAUAUUUAAUGUGACAGGUCCCAGGGAUCAGCACACAUUCCUGUAAAGGAGAACAUGGAGUUCUUGGAACAGCCUGAGCUGAGGAGAACAAGGAGAACGCCGCAGGCAGCAUAGCCUACAGCUCACACACAUACCCUCUUUUAUAUUAAAGACAUCAACGCUUUUUCAGCCAUAUAUAUUCUGAAUGUUUUUCUUCACUUGUGUGAUUGAUACAGUGCCCUGAUCCAAUCAUAAUGAAAAUACUAAUAAUGACAGCUACUAUUUAAUCCUCAAAACAAUCCUGUGGGGUGGAGUUUAUUCAGGAGGGGGCUCUGCCAGCUCCAGGGCCC